UCCAACCGGCGCGCACUAAUCCACACUUUCUGGGCGCGGACGGUCAAAAAAGGAGGUAUAAACCAUGUCCGCGGGACUCGCGGUGCGGCAUUGUGGAGACAUGUCGUAAUGCGUUCGCCAAGCCCGGCGUUCGCGAGAAUGUGCGCGCGGAGGCGGCACAGUCAGGGUCAGUCAGUAUGGCA
ncrna:unclassified sequences malK-I RNA